rnacentral:lncRNA from 1 species
UGUUGCCCAGCUAUGCAACCCAAGAGGGGGGGGGUGAAUUGGGUUUCUAAAAAUUUUAAGCCCAACAGAUUACUUAUGAAGAACAAAACAAAGACUUUAAAUCAAUAUUAAUUACCUAAAGCAGUAUUGCAAGGAUAUAAUAAAGAAAUAAGAUAAAGCGAUAAAGCACACCACAAACAUAAGGAUUUAUAGUGGUUCAGUGCUAACCUUGCACCUACAUCCACUCUCCAAGAUCCUACUUGGGAAUUUCAAUCCACUAUCCUUUGUAUUCAACCCGAAUACAAAACGUUGGAAACUCCGACACUAGCUAUCCCAAGCUAGAUCACUUGUUUCCCGGGUACAAGUAAACCAAAACACUCCGAUUUCAGGUUCGGAUCAACCUUUCCUUGUUUUGGAAAUCCUCCAAAAAUAAGAACAAAAACUCACAAAGAGUUAGAAAAUUUUGAGCACAGAUUAAUACAAUAAUAGCUCCUUAAAUGAGCGAAUAUAACAAUAAAAGCUUUACUCAAAUGAAGAACCUCUUUUUCGAAUUUUCUCAAAGUGGAUGAACGCUUGAAUGCUUGAGAAGAGGUUG